rnacentral:rRNA from 1 species
CACGUAGGGGCCGAGCGUUGUCCGGAUUCAUUGGGCGUAAAGAGCUCGUAGGCGGUUUCGUAAGUCGGGUGUGAAAUCUCCAGGCUCAACUUGGAGUGGCCACCCGAUACUGCGCGACUCGAGUCCGGUAGGGGAGUGGGGAAUUCCUGGUGUAGCGGUGAAAUGCGCAGAUAUCAGGAGGAACACCGGUGGCGAAGGCGCCACUCUGGGCCGGUACUGACGCUGAGGAGCGAAAGCGUGGGGAGCAAACAGG